GGAUCUCUUUUUAGAGAUCCCUCUUUUGCGGGAUUUCUCCCUCUGAGCUUAGAUCUUUAGAGACAGUGCCUUAGGUUCUCAUCUGUUUGUGACAACACAAAUCCAAUAUGCCAUAAGCAUGUUGAAAUGUUCUGGCCUUUACAGUUUUCCCAGCCUGAGGGAUGCUUUGAAUACCAGGCUUACACUACACCACAAGGAGAUGAGUUUCCUUCCCUACAUAAAAGAUUCAUAUUGAUCACUGUUCAAUGAAAUCUUGUUUUUAUAAAUGGCAUGCUGUAUUUUUACCAUGUGACCACUGAGCACAGUUCUGUAGCAGAGAUUUAAUGGAGUAAAAGAGAGCAAAUUGAACAGAAAAGCAGAAAUUCAGCAGGGGUAAACCACUUACUAGCAGUGCCUAUAAUGAAUUUCCCAUCUAACUAACCCUCUUCAUAAACUGAUAAUGUAGACAGGAACUUAGAAAGACUCUUGAUCAGACAAUGGGAAGGAAUAAAAUGAGAGAGAGCUGCAGCUAUUGAAACCUACUCUGGCCAGACAAGGGCCUGGGGCACUACCUGAAAUGGCCAAUUUACUGGCUAAGUUAAUAUUUCAUUCCUGCAGUCCAGCUGGACUGGAAUGUUAAAAAACAGCCUUCCUCAGUCCACCAGUGAUGUUUCAAAUGCAGCCUAAAUAGCUUAGGGAUUCUCAGAUUUUUGCAAAAAUGUAUCAUGAGGCUUUCUGCAGAACAGCCAUCAGGUGGAGAGCCUGCAGUCCAUGGCAGAUGAUGGGUGAAGGCCAUGAGAACACUGGGAAGUUCACUGGCUCAAGAUGCACUGUAACCAUGCUAUGGCACUACUGCUUAGGGACCUCAUAGUGGUCAUUCCUGCUACGGGGUAAAAAACACAGUGCUAUUUUUUUUUCCUGGCACAGAUUUUUAGGUUUGAGAGUUUGGGGAAGCAUCUCAGCAUCAGUAAGAAUUGUAUAUAUAUUCAAUUUGCACAGAUCUUAGUGCUGUUAAGAGGACUUUAUUCAUAAUGCAGUAAACACUCCAUCUAUAUGCUUUUGUUUGGGUAGUUUAGUUUAUUAAAGUUGUGUUUGGCACGAGAGUUCUGGGAUAAGGAUGUGUAACAAUGAUUUGGAACCUCUCUUUGCAAAAGGACUUCAUCUUCCUUCCCUGGGAGCAAUGUGCCUCAGCUUAUCCCUCUUCCCACCAUUCAGAGUACGGGGAGUUCAUUUUAAUUUUUAUUUCCUGCAUUUGUCUGCAGUUCAUUUUAAACCCAGUAAAAUGUAUAAAUACAUCCAAAUGUUCCUUUGGGAUCAUCCUGCAUUACACCAAUUUGUCAGAAUAUGACAUUUUGCUGAAGCAAAACAAGAAUGGGAGACUGAGACUCAUUGCCAUGCAUGAGGAUUAGAAAUUAGUAAUGUGAGACAACUGCAUUCAAAUCCAGAGAUGGUGAAUGAUCUAGGGUGUCAAAUUUGGGUGUUCAAUAAACAUUGCAUCUGUGGAUAAUUAUUCAACGAAUGAGAAAUAUAAUCUUU